rnacentral:rRNA from 1 species
AUGGAGAAGCGUCUACUCUCCAACAUCCAUUUGGUAACUAUAUGUGCAAUUCUCUUGUUUACCCGAGCCAAGAGCUUUGUAGAGUCAUCAUCAUCAUCAUCCUCUAGCCACUCAAACAAUACGGUCACUAGAUGUAUCGCCGGUGAGAGGUCCGCGCUUGUCGACUUCAAAGCAAGCAUCUCGGACCCUGCAAACCUCCUAUCAUCUUGGAAGGCUGAUGACUGCUGCAAAUGGAAGGGUGUCCAUUGCAGUAGUAGAAACAACCACGUCGUCAAGCUCGAUCUCCCGGGCCAUGGUUGUGACUACAACGACGUUGAUAUGAUGAUGCAAGUGCUAGGAGGCAACAUUAGCUCCUCGUUGCUUGGUCUACAACACCUACAGUAUCUCAACCUCAGCUGCAACGAGUUCUAUGGGGUGCAAAUACCGGAGUUCCUGGGUUCUCUCCACAAGUUGAGAUACAUCGACCUAUCAAGAUCAACCUUCAGCGGAAGGAUUCCACCGCAGCUCGGUAAUCUCUCCAACCUACGAUACUUAAAUCUUGGCUGGGCAGAUUACACAUACUCCAUGGAUAUCACUUGGUUGGCCCGAUUAACUUCCCUUGAGCAGCUCGACCUGAGCGGCACGAACCUCAGCACAAUCGUCCAGUGGCUUCCGGUGGUGAGCAUGCUUCCAUCUCUAAAAGUUCUUCGUCUUAGCGACUGCAAUCUUAGAACUGACUCUUCUUCACAUCAGAUUUCAAAUCUGACUUCUCUUGAAACACUUGACCUUUCCUACAAUUUCUUCAAUACAAGUAUCACACCCAACUGGUUUUGGGGUUUGACUAGCCUCAAGUAUCUAGAUAUCUCAUGGAAUGGUCUCUAUGGCCAAUUUCCGGACGAGAUAGGCAAUAUGACCUCCAUAGUAAGGCUUGAUUUACAAAUGAAUAACCUUGUGGGCAUGAUAUCAUCCAACCUACAGAACCUAUGUAGCUUGGAAAAAUUCUAUGCACGUGGAAACAACAUCAGUGGAAGCAUAACAGAAUUCUUUCUGCGCUUGCCUAGUUGUUCAUGGAAUAAGUUGACAUACAUGUCUCUACCUUCCAACAAUUUGACAGGAAGCCUACCAACCAAACUAAAACCCUUAAGCAACCUGACCGGCAUUAUUCUUGGUAGUAACAAGCUCACUGGUCCUGUGCCACUUUGGAUAGGAGAGCUCACGAAGCUGACUGAAUUGGACUUGAGCAACAAUAACCUGGAGGGUUUCAUAAAUGAAGGACAUUUAUCAGGCCUUGAAAGCUUGGAAAAGUUGUGGCUGUCUAAUAAUUCCAUAGCCCUCGUACUGAAUUCGACGUGGGUUCCUCCUUCCAAUCUAACAGAUAUUGGACUUCGGUCAUGCCUUCUUGGGCCAAAAUUUCCAUUGUGGCUUAGAUGGCUAACACGUCUAGACAAUCUUGAUAUCUCAAACACGAGCAUAUCUGACAAGGUGCCAGAUUGGUUUUGGGUAGUGGCUUCCACUGUGAGAACUCUGAAUAUUCGACAUAACCAAAUUAUCGGUUCUUUACCAUCUACAAUGGAACAUAUGAAAGCAACUGCAAUUGAUCUCAGUUCUAACCAGUUCAAUGGCCCAAUACCUAAGCUUCCCAUUAGUCUGAGUGAGUUGGAUCUUAGUAGAAACAAUUUAGUUGGGCCACUACCAUCAGACUUUGGAGCACCGAGUCUAACAAGACUGAUUCUAUUUGACAACUCCAUCUCUGGCACAAUUCCUUCUUCAUUGUGUAAACUGCGAUUACUACUUCUGUUGGAUAUCUCCGAAAAUAAGCUAACUGGACAAAUUCCUGAUUGUGCUGCUAUUACCUCUGAGACAAACAUAACAAGUAUGAGUAUCAACAAUCUAAGCUUGAGAAACAACAACCUCUCGGGUGAAUUUCCUUCAUUUCUCCAAGACUGCCCGCAACUCUCCUUUCUUGAUCUUGCACACAACAAUUUCGUUGGAACUUUGCCAACAUGGAUAGGGGAUAAAUUGCCAUAUUUGGCUUUCUUGCGACUACGAUCGAAUAAGUUUUAUGGUCGCAUUCCGGAGGAACUUACACAGAUAGUUAAUCUUCAGUAUUUGGACCUUUCCUACAAUAAUAUGACGGGGAUCAUACCUAAAUCUAUUGUUAACAUCAAAGGGAUGAUACUAAUGCAAGAUUACGAUGAUUCAUUUCAUCGUGCUUUCCGUUAUGGAGAGUCGAUUAUUGGUCCUGGUGACAUGAUCACAUAUACCGAGAAUUUCACGGUAGUCACAAAGGGCCAAGAGAGAUUAUAUACAGGAGAGAUCAUAUAUAUGGUGAAUCUUGAUUUAUCAUAUAACAAUCUUAUUGGAGAUAUUCCCGAAGAAAUCGGCAGUCUUGUCGAAUUGAAGAACCUAAACUUAUCAUGGAACACCUUCAGCGGAAAAAUUCCUGCGAAUAUUGGCGCCUUGGCGCAAGUGGAGUCACUCGACCUAUCACACAAUGAGUUGUCCGGUGGAAUCCCUGCCAGCUUAUCGACUCUCACAUCAUUAAGUCACUUGAACCUGUCCUACAACAACCUGACAGGAGAGGUACCAUCUGGAAAUCAACUGCAAACACUUGAGGAUCCAGAAUCUAUUUAUAUUGGCAACCCGGGCCUCUGCGGGUCUCCCUUGUCGCAGGAAUGUUCACAACCCGAGCCAACUCCGGCUACCGUGGAACACCAUGAAGAUUUGAACGAUGUGGUCUUGUUUUUCAUCGCGAUGGGUUCUGGAUAUGUAAUGGGACUCUGGGUAGUCUUCUGCACCUUCUUGUUCCAGAGGAAAUGGAGAGUUAAGUGGUACUCCAUUUGUGAUGGCUGGUAUGACCGGGUCUAUGUGCAAGUGGCAGUUACAUGGGCUUCUUGGACAAGGAAAAAAUGUGCAGAAGCUGAGAGCGAUCACUAG